UGUUAUGGCACUCGAGUUACAGCAGUUCCUCUUCAGGAGAGACAUCUUAUCGAUUCUGAUCUCAAUAUUGAUCUUCCUGUUCCCGCUGCUAGGGAGCGGGCUCUGUCAUUACCUUGCUCUGUCAUUAGAGAGGAGCCAUCGGCACUGCUGGCCUGCCUGUGUCACUCUACAGAGACAGCUACACUUUUCUCUCACACUGCUCCCUGUAUUUAUUAAAGCCACUGACAGCCUGCUGCUUCACAGACACAUUAGGAACCCUUUAACCCCUGACUGGAGCUAGGGAUGCUGGCUUACAGAAAUGCUCACUCCACUGGAGAUCAUCAGAAUGGCCUUUUCUUGCUGGUCCAGGUUAUCCAUUGUUGAAAUAGUGACUGGAUGUUGGUUACCAAGACAGAAGGCUGACCAAACCUACAUUUAAAAUCCUUUUAAACUGUGUUUUCACCUUUCUUCAUGCAAAAUCCUAUUCCCAUUAGUAAUUACAUUUACAAGUCUUCUGUGAAACAAACAUAUUAAUGCCAAAAUUAUCAUAUAUCAUGUUAAAGCUUCUGUAGUAUCUAUAUAGUUAUUAUAUUAUUGCACAUAUUGAAGUGGUACUCAUUAUGUAUCCAAAAGAUUAUCCUGCUUAAAAGGCUUUGGUUGAUUUGCUCAUGUAUGAUACUUAAGUAAAAAAAAAGAGCUGUUCACAUAUCAUUGUGAUAUAUGACUUAAAAUGACUAACAGCUAAUUGCUCUAUUACUGAGCUGGUGGCCAGUUUACAAGUUUAACCUCUACCUUUGAAUGUUAUAUUAAGGCUCUGCAUGACCUUUUUGUUUUUGACAAAAAUGUUUUUAAUGCUAGAUGUGAUAUGUUUAACAUCAAUCUAUUAAUCUGAAUAUAAAAAUAUAUACAUUUAUGGCUCAUUAACUUAAAAACACAGAAUUACUAAAACCUUAUGUCCAUGGUCUCAGUUUUUGUUCAUGGAGGAUUGUGACAUAUUUAUGAUUAAUUUUUUGUUCUAAUGUAACAGAAAUGAAUGUAAAACCUUCAGAAUCUCAGUCAAAUACAGUGUUGCAGUGCUUCAUCGAAGCUUGGUUGCAUGGUUGCAAGUAUUUGUUAGAGAUUUUUUUUUUUUUAAAUUUUAAUGUCUGCAUAUGUUUUUUUUUCUCCUCUUGAUAAUUUAACUAUUACUGGAA
ensembl:lncRNA